ACAGAACCCUAGCUGGUAACGAUCAUUAACAAUGUUAGAGGAAAAGAGGCGACGUGAUCUCAGGGGAACUGAAGAACGUACAUGUUACUCGAUCAUAACAUGUUGAGAAUUCAUAGUAAUCAUAAUGGUAAGGGGGCGACUGAAGGUUCCAGUGGAGAGGAAAGUCCUGAGCCCGGGGAGGUUGGUUCCGGUCAAGGUAGCCGUGGUCAAAGGCGGCAUGAUGGUUACCAGGGUGGUGGACAGUCAUGUAUAAGUAGUCGCUGGGAUCGAAGGGGUGAUGAUUGUGG